rnacentral:rRNA from 1 species
GUCGAGCGGACCGACGGGAGCUUGCUCCCUUAGGUCAGCGGCGGACGGGUGAGUAACACGUGGGUAACCUGCCUGUAAGACUGGGAUAACUCCGGGAAACCGGGGCUAAUACCGGAUGCUUGAUUGAACCGCAUGGUUCAAUCAUAAAAGGUGGCUUUUAGCUACCACUUGCAGAUGGACCCGCGGCGCAUUAGCUAGUUGGUGAGGUAACGGCUCACCAAGGCGACGAUGCGUAGCCGACCUGAGAGGGUGAUCGGCCACACUGGGACUGAGACACGGCCCAGACUCCUACGGGAGGCAGCAGUAGGGAAUCUUCCGCAAUGGACGAAAGUCUGACGGAGCAACGCCGCGUGAGUGAUGAAGGUUUUCGGAUCGUAAAACUCUGUUGUUAGGGAAGAACAAGUACCGUUCGAAUAGGGCGGCACCUUGACGGUACCUAACCAGAAAGCCACGGCUAACUACGUGCCAGCAGCCGCGGUAAUACGUAGGUGGCAAGCGUUGUCCGGAAUUAUUGGGCGUAAAGCGCGCGCAGGCGGUUUCUUAAGUCUGAUGUGAAAGCCCCCGGCUCA